GCCGGGCGUGGUGGCGCAUGCCUGUAAUUCCAGCUACUCGGGGGACUGAGGCAGGAGAAUCACUUGAACCUGGGAGGCAGAGGUUGCAGUGAGCCGAGAUCGCGCCAUUGCACUUCAGCCUGGGCAACAAGAGUGAAACUCCAUCUCAAGAAAAACAAACAAAAAAAAACCUUUUUUUUUCUUUUUUUGAGACGGAGUCUCGCUCUGUCGCCCAGGCUGGAGAGCAGUGGCACGAUCUCGGCUCACUGUAACCUCUGCCUCCUGGGUUCAAGUGAUUCUCUUGCCUCAG
rnacentral:SRP_RNA from 1 species